UAAUACGAGAGGCCCAAACGUUAUUCGGAUUUACUGGGCUUAAAGAGUUCGUAGGCGGUUCGGUAAGUGAGGUGUGAAAGCCCUCGGCUCAACCGAGGAAUUGCGCUUCAAACUGCCGGGCUCGAGGGAGAUAGAGGUGAGCGGAACUGAUGGUGGAGCGGUGAAAUGCGUUGAUAUCAUCAGGAACACCAGAGGCGAAGGCGGCUCACUGGGUCUCUUCUGACGCUGAGGAACGAAAGCUAGGGGAGCAAACGGG
rnacentral:rRNA from 1 species